CCUACGGGAGGCUGCAGUGGGGGAUAUUGCACAAUGGGGGGAACCCUGAUGCAGCGACGCCGCGUGGGUGAAGAAGCGCCUCGGCGCGUAAAGCCCUGUCAGCAGGGAAGAAAAUGACGGUACCUGAAGAAGAAGCCCCGGCUAAAUACGUGCCAGCAGCCGCGGUAAUACGUAGGGGGCAAGCGUUAUCCGGAUUUACUGGGUGGAAAGGGGGCGCAGACGGCGAUGCAAGCCAGGAGUGAAAGCCCGGGGCCCAACCCCGGGACUGCUCUUGGAACUGCGUGGCUGGAGUGCAGGAGGGGCAGGCGGAAUUCCUGGUGUAGCGGUGAAAUGCGUAGAUAUCAGGAGGAACACCGGUGGCGAAGGCGGCCUGCUGGACUGCAACUGACGUUGAGGCCCGAAAGCGUGGGGAGCAAACAGGAUUAGAUACCCCUGUAGUC
rnacentral:rRNA from 1 species